UAUUGACCGAAAUCGCUAUGUAACAUAUUAGCUACCUAGCGUACCAAAAAGUGCAUCGUUAGCAAACAUUACAGUAGAACUGAACACAUGGUUCCCCUGCAAUGUAAUAUUUGCCUGCUAGUCAAGUUAGCCAGGCAGAAACAGGAAAGCACCAUACGUAGCUAGCUAACUACACUAUCUAGCUACACUUGUCCUUGCGGAAACCUUGUUGUUCAUAUUUUCACAACAUGUUCAAGGCAGCACUGCAAACGUUGACCUUGUGCAGUAGUUAUCUAGCUAAAUGAAAUAACUGGGCUGGCUAGUAAGAUGGAUAACAAGCAGCUCUUCCAAGUCAGCUAGGAUUGCGAUGUUUCUGCUAGCUAUCUAAAGCUGAAGUCAUUCGAGUUUUAUUUUCCUGACAUUGUCAUAGAUUUUAAUACAACUCCUCUUCUUUAGAGUAUAGGUAUUCAGACCUUCCUGGGUAAUGGACAGACCAUCUUUUCCAGAAUACAUUGGCAUGGGAUCCGGCGGUCCUUUCUUUGAAGGACUUCAAUGAAAGAUGGCCAACCCUGUUUGAACCCACUCGGGUACAAAAUACAGCCGAAGGAAAAUAGUCAAUAUUAAGGACGAGUUCAGAAGAAUUACAACUGUUUCUCUUGAGUCCACCUUUAUGCAGAAGCUGGACGAAUAUACACCAACAUGUUUUGACUUGUUUAAGUCAAAAGGAGGUGCUAUAAAGGCGGUUUGUAACAGUAUAGACUGAUGAUAAAUGAUAACAUUUAUUUUAUUAAAAUAAAGAUGUGGAAGUUUGAAGUUGAA
ensembl:lncRNA